rnacentral:rRNA from 1 species
UUUUAUGGAGAGUUUGAUCCUGGCUCAGAGUGAACGCUGGCGGCGUGCCUAAUACAUGCAAGUCGAACGAUGAAGCUUCUAGCUUGCUAGAAGUGGAUUAGUGGCGCACGGGUGAGUAAGGUAUAGUUAAUCUGCCCUACACAAGAGGACAACAGUUGGAAACGACUGCUAAUACUCUAUACUCCUGCUUAACACAAGUUGAGUAGGGAAAGUUUUUCGGUGUAGGAUGAGACUAUAUAGUAUCAGCUAGUUGGUAAGGUAAUGGCUUACCAAGGCUAUGAC